CCACCUAGAAGGGGCCUCACCUUGAA
rnacentral:piRNA from 1 species